rnacentral:tRNA from 1 species
GUUUCUAUAGUUGAAUUACAACGGUGGUUUUUCAUAUCAUUGGUCGUGGUUAGAUUCCAUGUAGGAAUA